rnacentral:rRNA from 1 species
AACGUUGCUUCGGCGGGAACAGACGGCCCCGUAAAACGGGCCGCCCCCGCCAGAGGACCCCUAACUCUGUUUCUAUAAUGUUUCUUCUGAGUAAAACAAGCAAAUAAAUUAAAACUUUCAACAACGGAUCUCUUGGCUCUGGCAUCGAUGAAGAACGCAGCGAAAUGCGAUAAGUAAUGUGAAUUGCAGAAUUCAGUGAAUCAUCGAAUCUUUGAACGCACAUUGCGCCCGCCAGUAUUCUGGCGGGCAUGCCUGUUCGAGCGUCAUUACAACCCUCAGGCCCCCGGGCCUGGCGUUGGGGAUCGGCGGAGCCCCCCGUGGGCACACGCCGUCCCCCAAAUACAGUGGCGGUCCCGCCGCAGCUUCCAUCGCGUAGUAGCUAACACCUCGCGACUGGAGAGCGGCGCGGCCACGCCGUAAAACACCCCAACUCUUCUGAAGUUGACCUCGAAUCAGGUAGGAAUACCCGCUGAACUUAAGCAUAUCAAUAGGCCAGAGAAAA